rnacentral:lncRNA from 1 species
AGCAUCUAGCGUGGCCAGCAGGACCGCAGCACUGACAGCCGGCGCUCAGGCAGCUUCCUUGUCCCAGAUCAUUCUCGUAAAAUGUCUGGGAGCAGGCAGAGACCAACCCGCAUCAUGCUGUUGUCGUAGCGCAAGCAAGGCCUCACACUAGAAUAUAAGAAAUCACACUAUAUAGAGAG